GACGUAACAGAUGGUCACAUUGGUCUCCAAUAAGCUCAUGGACAGUCCAUGUUCUUGAACUCACUAGUUUGUCUGAUGAAGGCAGGGGCGCAGCCGUCCCCCAGGGAAGUAUGGACAGGGACCAUCCUGGUGGUGGAGGGGAGGAUGGGGUGAAUGUUGGCAUCAUCAUCUGAGAACUCAAACAUGUAUCUGGUGAUUGAGGAGACGAUAGAAGGAACUGGACUUCAUCCUAGC